CGCGUAGGCGGGGGACCAAGUCCGGGGUGAAAUCUUUCGGCUCAACCGGAAAACUGCCUUGGAUACUGGUCUUCUUGAGGGAGGUAGGGGCAGGUGGAACUUCCGGUGGAGCGGUGAAAUGCGUUGAUAUCGGAAGGAACGCCGGUGGCGAAAGCGACCUGCUGGAUCUCUUCUGACGCUGAGGCGCGAAAGCUAGGGGAGCGAAC
rnacentral:rRNA from 1 species